AUUGAACGCUGGCGGCAGGCCUAACACAUGCAAGUCGAGCGAGCGGCGGACGGGUGAGUAAUGUCUGGGGACUGCCCGAUAGAGGUGGAUCACUACUGGAAACGGUGGCUAAUACCGCAUACUCUCCGAUAACCCAUAUGGGAUUAGCUAGUAGGUGGGGUAAAGGCUCACCUAGGCGACGAUCCCUAGCUGGUCUGAGAGGAUGAUCAGCACAAUGGGAACUGAGAAACGGCCCAAACUCCUAGGGAGGCAGGCGUGGGGAAUAUUGGAGAAUGGGGGAAAGCGUGAUGCAGCAAUGCGGGGGGUAUGAAGAAGGCCUUAGGGUUGUAAAGUACUUUCAGCGGGGAGGCGGUACCCGAAGAAGAAGCACAGGCUAACUCCGUGCCAGCAGCCGCGGUAAUAC
rnacentral:rRNA from 1 species